AUAUGAUGCCGGCAACAGCCAUGUGGGCGGUUGCUCCAGCACCCACCACUGCCACCGGAAACACCUUGUGGAUGCUACCGGUAUCCACCAGCGUCAGUAGCAGCAGCGGCCAACACUCUCAUCUCGCCGGAGCCGCAUCGGAGUCGCAACACCACCACCACCAGCAAAUGUGGCCAUUCCCGACUGCCCAAGCUGUCGGCGGCGGAAACACACUGCAAGCACCACUCCAUUUCAUCCCAAGAAUCAACAUCCCGGCGGCGAAUCUGGAAUUCCAGCAGAAUUCAAGAGCAAAUCCCCUCCAACUGGGAUCAAUGUUGAUGCAGCAGCAGCAACAACAACAACAACAACAACAACAAC
rnacentral:lncRNA from 1 species